rnacentral:rRNA from 1 species
UACGUAGGGUGCGAGCGUUGUCCGGAAUUACUGGGCGUAAAGAGCUCGUAGGUGGUUUGUCGCGUUGUUCGUGAAAACUCACAGCUCAACUGUGGGCGUGCGGGCGAUACGGGCAGACUGGAGUACUGCAGGGGAGACUGGAAUUCCUGGUGUAGCGGUGGAAUGCGUAGAUAUUGGGAGGAACACCGGUGGCGAAGGCGGCUCUCUGGACCGGUACUGACGCUGAUCUGCGAAAGCUAGGGGAGCAAACGGG